rnacentral:misc_RNA from 1 species
GAUGAAGAACGUAGCGAAAUGCGAUAAGUAGUGUGAAUUGCAGAAUUCAGUGAAUCAUCGAAUCUUUGAACGCACAUUGCGCCCCUUGGUAUUCCAUGGGGCAUGCCUGUUCGAGCGUCAUUUGUACCUUCAAGCUCUGCUUGGUGUUGGGUGUUUGUCUCGCCUCUGCGUGUAGACUCGCCUCAAAAUAAUUGGCAGCCGGCGUAUUGAUUUCGGAGCGCAGUACAUCUCGCGCUUUGCACUCAUAGCGACGACGUCCAAAAGUACAUUUUUACACUCUUGACCUCGGAUCAGGUAGGGAUACCCGCUGAACUUAAGCAUAUCAAUAAGCGGAGGA